GAUAGGAUGGUCAUGAUAGAUUUCUUUGUGCAGGUGACAUCUUAGCAGUACCCAUAGUGAUAUGGGGGAAAGAACCACGUGGAUUUUGAGUUAUGAUGGAAUAACUGGAAUUAGACUUGCCCUUCUGAAGUAAACAACUAGAAAGCUCUACAACAGUCAUAAGUCAACUGUUUUCAAGCAUUGGAUAAAACAACACUGUGGUCUUUGCGGGAAGAAAAACACAUGAGGAAGUCAGGGACCCCAAACGGAGGGACUGGUUGAAGCCAUGGCAGAAGAACGUGGAUUGUGAAGAUUUCAUGGACAUUUAUUAGUUCCCCAAAUUAAUACUUUUAUAAUUUCUUAUGCCUAUCUUUACUGCAGUCUCUAAACAUAAAUUGUAAAGAUUUCAUGGACAGUUAUCACUUCCCCAAUCAAUACCCUUGUGAUUUCCUAUGCCUGUCUUUACUUUAAUCUCUUAAUCCUGCCAGCUGAGGAGGAUGUGUAUCACCUCAGGACCCUGUAAUAAUUUCACAAAUUAUACAGCUUGUGUGUUUGAACAAUAUGAAAUGUGGGCACCUUGAAAAAAGAACAGGAUAACAGCAAUUGUUCAGGGAAUAAGAGAGAUAACCUUAAACUCUGACCACCGGUAAGCCAGGCAGAACAGAGCCGUAUUUCUCUUCUUUCAAAAGCAAAUUGGAGAAAUAUCACUGAAUUCUUUUUCUCAGCAUGGAACAUCCCUGAGAAAGAGAAUGCACACCUUGGGGUAGGUGUCUGAACUGGCCCCCCUGGGCGUGGUUGUCUCUUAUGGUCAAGACUGCAGAGAGGAAGAGGAAAUUCCCACCUAAUAAAUUUUUGUCAGACUGGUUGAUCUCAAAACUCUGUCUCCUGAUAAGAUGUUAUCAAUGAUAAUGGUGCCCGAAACUUCAUUAGCAAUUUUAAUUUCACCCCGGUCCUGUGGUCCUGUGAUCUCACCCUGCCUCCACUUGCCUUGUGAUAUUCUAUUACCUUGUAAAGUACUUGAUGUCUGUGACCCAUAUCUAUUCGCACACUCCCUCCCCUUUUGAAAAUCCCUAAUGAAACCUCACUGGCUUUUGUGGCUUUUGGGGCAUCAUGGAACCUACCGACAUGUGAUGUCUCCCCCAGAUGCCCGGCUUUAAAAUUUCUCUCUUUUGUACUCUGUCCCUUUAUUUCUCAAGCUGGCUGAUACUUAGGGAAAAUAGAAAAGAACCUAUGUGAAUAUCAGGGCAGGUUCCCCAAUAAUCUACUAUUGAAAGAGGGGUUGGUAAAGACUGAAGAGCAAGAGGUGGCAGUUUUUGGUCUACUUUUCUACCCUUUUCCUGGGGCAUUAACCAUAUGACAAUGGAAGGAUAAAAAAAAACAUUUUAUCAUACCUUAGAAGCAACAUGGAAGUAGGUAUUUUCUGAGCAACAAGAAAACUCAGAGUGUCUACUGUUUGCUGUACUCUUGAGUCCAGACCAUGGUGAAAGCCAUUUCCAACUGUUACGUCUCCAAUCAGCAAUGGAAAUAGAGGGACCCAAGUGACUGAACACGGAGCAUAGAGCUUAGUGUCAGAAGAGGUGAGACCCUCAAUGGGACAGAAAAUAAUUUAAGUGGGCUGAGAGUUAAUAGGGGAAAGACAAGAAGGUCCAACAAAGAAAGGGAUUUUGCUUACCAGGGAGUGAUAGCCAAGUAGAUUUCGAAGGUUAAAUGAGAUGAUUUAUGUCAUAAGUUCUCUGGAGAAAAUGAGUCUGAUGGGGAUGGAGGUGUGGGACUGUCUUAUGGUGUAGAAAAUUACCCCCAAGUCUCAAACACCCUGUGAAUUCUGCAGAGAGAGUACUUUGUCAUUUGAACAUGAAAUAAAGGAUUUCUUUUUUCUUUCCCA